rnacentral:rRNA from 1 species
UACGUAGGGCGCAAGCGUUAUCCGGAAUUAUUGGGCGUAAAGAGCUCGUAGGCGGUUUGUCGCGUCUGCCGUGAAAGUCCGGGGCUCAACUCCGGAUCUGCGGUGGGUACGGGCAGACUAGAGUGAUGUAGGGGAGACUGGAAUUCCUGGUGUAGCGGUGAAAUGCGCAGAUAUCAGGAGGAACACCGAGUGGCGAAGGCAGGUCCUCUGGGCAUUAACUGACGCUGAGGAGCGAAGACAUGGGGAGCAACAGG